UACGUAGGGUGCAAGCGUUAUCCGGAAUUAUUGGGCGUAAAGCGCGCGCAGGCGGUUUCUUAAGUCUGAUGUGAAAGCCCACGGCUCAACCGUGGAGGGUCAUUGGAAACUGGGAGACUUGAGUGCAGAAGAGGAAAGUGGAAUUCCAUGUGUAGCGGUGAAAUGCGUAGAGAAUAUGGAGGAACACCAGUGGCGAAGGCGACUUCUGGUCUGUAACUGACACUGAGGCGCGAAAGCGUGGGGAGCAAACAGGAUUGAGAUACCGU
rnacentral:rRNA from 1 species